UGUAAGCGUAUACCAAAGUUGUUGCAGUUAAAACGCUCGUAGUCGGAAUUUGGCAGUUCCGGAUGUGUGCACGUCGUGUGCGCACUUCGCGGGGAUUGCUUUUGUGGUCUUGCGUAGGAUGAGGCACUUUUAUUAGUGAACGUCCUCACGCAACCACUUUUUACUGUGAGAAAAUCAGAGUGCUCAAAGCAGGCAUUUGCCGUGAAUGUAUUAGCAUGGAAUAAUAGAAUAGGACUUGGUUCUAUUUUGUUGGUUUGUUGGGACUGAGUAAUGAUUAAGAGGGACAGUUGGGGGCAUUUGUAUUUCGGUGCUAGAGGUGAAAUUCUUAGAUUACCGAAAGACAAACUGCUGCGAAAGCGUAUGCCAAGGAUGUUUUCAUUGA
rnacentral:rRNA from 1 species